GUUGAACGCUGGCGGCAUGCUUUACACAUGCAAGUCGAACGGCAGCGCGGGCUUCGGCCUGGCGGCGCGUGGCGAACGGGUGAGUAAUACAUCGGAACGUGCCCAGUAUUGGGGGAUAGCUCGGCGAAAGCCGGAUUAAUACCGCAUACGACCUGAGGGUGAAAGCGGGGGAUCUUCGGACCUCGCGCUAUUGGAGCGGCCGAUGGCAGAUUAGCUAGUUGGUGGGGUAAAGGCCUACCAAGGCGACGAUCUGUAGCUGGUCUGAGAGGACGACCAGCCACACUGGGACUGAGACACGGCCCAGACUCCUACGGGAGGCAGCAGUGGGGAAUUUUGGACAAUGGGCGAAAGCCUGAUCCAGCAAUGCCGCGUGUGUGAUGAAGGCCUUCGGGUUGUAAAGCACUUUUGGCGGGAACGAAAAGGACUGUGCCAAUACCACGGUUCGAUGACGGUACCCGCAGAAUAAGCACCGGCUAACUACGUG
rnacentral:rRNA from 1 species